rnacentral:sRNA from 1 species
CCUCCUCGAUCUGCUGCGGCGCGAUGAAAUGGAUAUGCGCAUCGAAGCCGCCGGCCGUGAGAAUGCGGCCUUCGCCGGCGAUGACUUCGGUGGAGGGUCCGAUCAGGACGUCGACGCCCGGCUGGGUAUCGGGGUUGCCGGCCUUGCCGAUGGCGUGGAUGCGGCCGUCGCGGAGGCCGACGUCGGCCUUGUAGAUACCGGAGUGAUCAACGAUCAGGGCGUUGGUGAUGACGGUGUCGACGGCGCCGUCCUUGCGGGUGAUCUGGCUCUGGCCCAUGCCGUCGCGG